rnacentral:misc_RNA from 1 species
AAGUCGUAACAAGGUUUCCGUAGGUGAACCUGCGGAAGGAUCAUUAUUGAACUUGAAAGGAGUUGUAGCUGGCCUUCCGAGGCAUGUGCUCGCUCUGAUCAAUCCAUUUACACCUGUGCACCUUUGAGGUUGUUGUCUCCCUCCUUACGGAGGAGCUGCAGGUAACACUGCUGAGACUUCGCCUUUCUUACACAAACUCUUAAAAGUUAAUGAAUGUCAUACUUGCUUAACGCAAUUAAAUACAACUUUCAACAACGGAUCUCUUGGCUCUC